rnacentral:rRNA from 1 species
UACGUAGGGUGCAAGCGUUGUCCGGAAUUAUUGGGCGUAAAGAGCUCGUAGGCGGUCUGUCGCGUCGGCUGUGAAAACCCGGAGCUCAACUCCGGGCCUGCAGUCGAUACGGGCAGACUGGAGUUCGGCAGGGGAGACUGGAAUUCCUGGUGUAGCGGUGAAAUGCGUAGAUAUCAGGAGGAACACCGGUGGCGAAGGCGGGUCUCUGGGCCGAUACUGACGCUGAGGAGCGAAAGCGUGGGGAGCAAACAGG